GGGGGCUAUGUGGGAGACUAGUGGGUCUGUGAAAGAGAACUCCAGUCAGAGUAAGAAAUACAGCACAAAAAUAGAGAAUCUUGGUCCUGAGAGCGCUUGCAGGCACUUCUGGAGCUUCCGUUAUCAUGAAGCAACCGGACCGCUUGAGACUAUCAGCCAACUUCAGAAAUUGUGCCAUCAGUGGCUGAGGCCAGAGAUCCA
rnacentral:lncRNA from 1 species